rnacentral:lncRNA from 1 species
AACCAGAGGACACCCCUCGGCAGCCUAUAGAGGCUCAUCUAUAGUAUACAAAAAGUUUUGAUGAUCAGACCUCAGAAUUAUCAAGAGUGGCGUUUCAGGAAAGUUUGGAUAGUCAACUUCAGCUAGUUUGUUACGCUACUGUCAACUCCCUGAUGGACUGAAAAAGAGGGAGACUCUGAGGUGACAGCGGGCGGGACUUCUGGAUUCAUGUUCUCAAGGGUCUUGUAUUGGGCAUGGUGGCGCAUGCCUGUAAUCCCAGUGGUUUGGGAGGCUGAGGCAGGAGGAAAGUUCAAAGUCAGCCUCAGCAAAAAAGCGAGGUGCUAAGCAAGUCAGUGAGACCAUGUCUCUAUAUAAAAUACAAAAAAUAGGGCCAGGGAUGUGGCUCAGUGGUCAAACGCCCCUGAGUUCAGUCACCAUCAUCACCCCCCUCCCCUGCAAAACAAAAUUGAGUCUUGUGAUCCUGGAUUCCCUUCAGUCUUUGAUCUUUUGAAGUGACCCACUCCUUCAAGAAUAUCCUUACUCUUACCUAAAGAUGGUGCAGGGAAUCAGGGGACUGUAAAUCAAAACCACACUAAGCGUUCAUUUCACUCCAGUCAGAAGAUCAAUUAUUAAGAACACAAAUAAUAGUAAAUGUUAGUGAGGAUGUGGAGAAAAACAUACACUCACAUUUUUGGUGGGAUUGCAAUUUAGUACAACCUCUCUGGAAACCAGUAUGGAGAUUCCUCAAGAAAGUAGGAAUUAAAUCACCAUACUACCCAGCUCUCCCACUCCUUGGUAUUUAUCCAAAAGAACUAAAAUCAGCAUACCAUGGUGAUACAGGCACUUCAAUGUCUUUGCAGCACAAUUCAC